rnacentral:rRNA from 1 species
AUUGAACGCUGGCGGCAGGCUUAACACAUGCAAGUCGAGCGAGCGGCGGACGGGUGAGUAAUGUCUGGGAAACUGCCUGAUGGAGGGGGAUAACUACUGGAAACGGUAGCUAAUACCGCAUACCAUCAGAUGUGCCCAGAUGGGAUUAGCUAGUAGGUGGGGUAAUGGCUCACCUAGGCGACGAUCCCUAGCUGGUCUGAGAGGAUGACCAGCCACACUGGAGCUGAGACACGGUCCAUACUCCUACGGGAGGCAGCAGUGGUGACUAUUGCACGAUGGACGGGGUCCUGUUGCAGCCAUGCCGCGUGUGUGAAGAAGGCAUUCGGGUUGUAAAGCACUUUCAGCUAGACGGCGUUACUCGCAGAAGAAGCACCGGCUAACUCCGUGCCAGCAGCCGCGGUAAUUC